AACGAACGCUGGCGGCAGGCCUAACACAUGCAAGUCGAGCGAGCAUUUCGGUGCUAGCGGCGGACGGGGGAGUAACGCGGGGGAACGUGCACUUUUCUGCGGAAUAGUCCUGGGUAAGUGGGGGUAAUACCGCAUACGCCCUUUCGGGGUAAGAGUUAUCGGAGAAGGGUCGGGCCGCGUUGGUUUAGGUGGUUGGUGGGGUAAUGGCGAACCAAGGGGACGAUGCAUAGCUGGUGUGAGAGGAUGAUCAGCUACACUGGGACUGAGACACGGCCCAGAACCCUACGGGACGGAGCAGUAGGGAAUCUUAGACGAGGGGGGCAACCCUAGUAAAGCCGUGCCGGGUGAGUGAUGAAGGCGUUAGUAUUGUAAUGCCCUUUCAGAUGGGAAGAUAGUGACGGUACCAGCAGAAGAAGCCCCGGCUAACUCCGUG
rnacentral:rRNA from 1 species